CCUACGGGAGGCAGCAGUAGGGAAUAUUGCUCAAUGGGGGAAACCCUGAUGCAGCAACGCCGCGUGGAUGAUGAAGGUUUUCGGAUUGUAAACUCCUUUUGUUAGAGAAGAUAAUGACGGUAUCUAACGAAUAAGCAUCGGCUAACUCCGUGCCAGCAGCUGCGGUAAUACGGAGGGUGCAAGCGUUACUCGGAUUCACUGGGCGUAAAGAGCGCGGAGGCGGGAUAGCAAGUCAGAUGUGAAAUCCUAUGGCUUAACCAUAGAACUGCAUUUGAAACUGUUCUUCUAGAGGAUGGGAGAGGGAGGUGGAAUUCUAGGUGUAGGGGUAGAAUGCGUAGAGA
rnacentral:rRNA from 1 species